UGGCACACAUCAUGACUACAUGCAAGUCUGGGAGGUUGCUGUAAAUUCCCAAUUAAUGAGCUGCUGACCCAUCCAGACAGAGUUGAAUCGCUAGCUUGGAAUGGUGAUAUUGUGUCGUCAGGAAGGACUGAUCUUACAAUGUGAUGUGAGAACUCCUAGUCUUGUGACAGAGACAAUGUUGGUUGGCCAUCAACAAGAGGUUUGCGGCUUGAAGUGGUAUCCAGACAAGCAGAGCCUGGCCUCCAGUGGCAAUGACAAUCGCCUCAAUGUUUGGAAUCUGCAUUUGCUCUCACCUGUGCAGACUUACACUCAGUGAAAGCUAUUGCAUGGUUCCCGCACCUUCAUGGACUCUUGGCUAGUGGUGGAGGCGGAGCUGAUCGGUGUAUUCGUUUCUAGAACACGCUCACAGGACAACCAAAGCAGUUUGUGGACACUGGAUUUCAAGUCCGUAAUCUUGCUUGGCUUAAACAUUCCUCUGAACUGGUAAGUUUCUUGCAUGUCGAUGUGCUCUGCAGUUUGUACUUGGAACGAUCUCAUUGAUAGGGGAAGGAAUUGUAUUUUUAAUUUGGUACAGGUAGUGAAGUGUUUGUAACCUAUAAGAUUAAAUUGAAAUUUAUGUUGUGAAUAUUUUAACACCCCCAAACCUAAUUUUGAAAUUUCAUUUGCUGCAGAUAUAAUUUAUAAAAUUUCUACAUUUGUACUUGGAUGAAAAAUGCAGUUAAUGAAACCAUAAAAUUGUAACUGUGAAGCCGUCUCCACUCAGGGCAGUUCCUUACUUUACUCAAUUUUGGCAGUAUAAAAUAUGUUUUCCUUAGGUCAAUACUUGUUGUUUAUGGAAAAAUAACAGAAUUUUCAUUCAUCCACAUUUCUCAGAUUCUUCUUGGUAACUGAAGUCUUCACAUUUUCCAAAAAUAAAACCUUGGGAAAAUGAAGUAUACCAGGCCCCUUAUUGUGGUUCAGAGCACACAUUAAAUUGUAGGGCCCCUCUUAAUCACACUUUUGGUUGGGGUAAUGGAAUCUGCUCUGUGGUUGGCCCAACCUGAAUAGGAGAGUCUAGACAUACCCAAAGUUGCCAUGCGCCUUGAAAGAUCAUCCCUGGAGACAUUAGCAUGCUACGAGUUGUGAGGUAGCUGGAUUAAGACCUACAGUGAUGUCAAUAUCCGUAAUUCUCUGCAGUAACUGAUGAUGUCAUUACCUGUUGCGCUGUCAUUGGCUGUGUCAU